rnacentral:rRNA from 1 species
GCUCAUCUCAUCCUGGGGCUGCAGCAGGUCCCAAGGGUAUGGCUGUUCGCCAUUUAAAGAGGUACGUGAGCUGGGUUUAAAACGUCGUGAGACAGUUUGGUCCCUAUCUACCGUGGGCGUAGGAUACCUGAGGGGAGCUGCUCCUAGUACGAGAGGACCGGAGUGGACAAACCUCUAGUGUGCCGGUUGUCGUCUCAAUGGCAUCGCCGGGUAGCCACGUUUGGCAGGGAUAACUGCUGAAGGCAUAUAAGCAGGAAGCCUACCCUAAGAUUAGGUAUCCCCUAUAAUAAGGGCCGUUCAAGACAAGAACGUUGAUAGGCUGGGUGUGUAAGCGUAGCGAUACGUUGAGCUGACCAGUACUAAUUCGCCCGUGAGACUUAAUCCU